CCACUUACCUGGCAGGGGAGAGACCGUGGUCACGAAGGGGGUUCUCCCAGAGUGAAGCUUCUUCAUCGCACUCUAGUGUUGCUGAUCCCUGUGAUUUCCUCAGUGUGGGAAACGGUGUUUGUGCUAGAAGAGGCUGUGCUCUUU
rnacentral:snRNA from 10 species